rnacentral:rRNA from 1 species
ACGCUCGACACCUACGGGAGCAGCAGUCGGGAAUAUUGCGCAAUGGAGGAAACUCCUGACGCAGUGACGCCGCGUGCAGGAAGAAGGUUUUCGGAUUGUAAACUGCUUUAGACAGGGAAGAAAAAGGACAGUACCUGUAGAAUAAGCUCCGGCUAACUACGUGCCAGCAGCCGCAGUAAUCUGAGCGGGCUGGCAAGGC